rnacentral:rRNA from 1 species
GGCUCAGAACGAACGCUGGCGGCAAGCUUAACACAUGCAAGUCGAACGGACCGUAUACGCAGCUUGCUGCGUGUAUGGUUAGUGGCAGACGGGUGAGUAAUGCAUAGGAAUCUACCUAGUAGUAUGGGAUAGCCACUAGAAAUGGUGGGUAAUACUGUAUAAUCCCUGCGGGGGAAAGAUUUAUCGCUAUUAGAUGAGCCUAUGUCAGAUUAGCUAGUUGGUGGGGUAAUGGCCUACCAAGGCGGUGAUCUGUAGCUGGUCUGAGAGGAUGAUCAGCCACACUGGAACUGAGACACGGUCCAGACUCCUACGGGAGGCAGCAGUGGGGAAUAUUGGACAAUGGGCGCAAGCCUGAUCCAGCUAUGCCGCGUGAGUGAGGAAGGCCUUAGGGUUGUAAAACUCUUUCAGUAGGGAAGAUAAUGACGGUACCUACAGAAGAAG